CCAGACGGUUGGACGAUCGCGGCGGGUGCGGUUUUGCUGCAUCGGUCGAGGAAAGUCCGGGCUCCACGGGAGAACGGUGCCGGCUAACGGCCGGCGGGGGCGACCCUAGGGACAGUGCCACAGAAAACAAACCACCCGCCGGACUGGUCGCGCGAGCGACUUGGUUGCGGGCAAGGUCGAAACGGGGCGGUAAGAGCGCACCGCGCGCCUGGCGACAGGGGCGGCAUGGUAAACCCCACCGGGAGCAAGACCGAAUAGGAGCGGCAGGUCGGUAUCCCAUCGGGAUGCACGACCGGAGGUUCUCCCGCCUCGUCGCUCGGGUUGGUCGCGCGAGGCGCAUCGCAAGAUGCGUCCCAGAGGAAUGAUCGUCACACCGCCGCUUCGUGCGCUGGUGGACAGAACCCGGCUUACAGACCGUCUGGCACC
rnacentral:RNase_P_RNA from 2 species